rnacentral:rRNA from 1 species
GUUUGAUCCUGGCUCAGGAUGAACGCUGGCGGCGUGCUUAACACAUGCAAGUCGAACGAUCCUUCGGGAUAGUGGCGGACGGGUGAGUAACGCGUGGGAAUCUGCCCUCAGGAGGGGGAUAACGGCUGGAAACGGCCGCUAAUACCCCAUAUGCCGAGAGGUGAAACGAAUUUCGCCUGAGGAUGAGCCCGCGUCUGAUUAGCUAGUUGGUGGGGUAAAGGCCCACCAAGGCGACGAUCAGUAGCUGGUCUGAGAGGAUGAUCAGCCACACUGGGACUGAGACACGGCCCAGACUCCUACGGGAGGCAGCAGUGGGGAAUUUUCCGCAAUGGGCGAAAGCCUGACGGAGCAACGCCGCGUGAGGGAUGAAGGCCUCUGGGCUGUAAACCUCUUUUCUCAAGGAAGAAGACCUGACGGUACUUGAGGAAUAAGCCACGGCUAAUUCCGUGCCAGCAGCCGCGGUAAUACGGGAGUGGCAAGCGUUAUCCGGAAUUAUUGGGCGUAAAGCGUCCGCAGGCGGCCUUGUAAGUCUGUUGUUAAAGCGUGGAGCUUAACUCCAUUUAAGCAAUGGAAACUACAAGGCUGGAGUGUGGUAGGGGCAGAGGGAAUUCCCGGUGUAGCGGUGAAAUGCGUAGAUAUCGGGAAGAACACCAGUGGCGAAGGCGCUCUGCUGGGCCAUAACUGACGCUCAUGGACGAAAGCCAGGGGAGCGAAAGGGAUUAGAUACCCCUGUAGUCCUGGCCGUAAACGAUGAACACUAGGUGUCGGGGGAAUCGACCCCCUCGGUGUCGUAGCCAACGCGUUAAGUGUUCCGCCUGGGGAGUACGCACGCAAGUGUGAAACUCAAAGGAAUUGACGGGGGCCCGCACAAGCGGUGGAGUAUGUGGUUUAAUUCGAUGCAACGCGAAGAACCUUACCAGGGUUUGACAUCCUGCGAACCCCUGAGAAAUCGGGGGGUGCCUUCGGGAGCGCAGAGACAGGUGGUGCAUGGCUGUCGUCAGCUCGUGUCGUGAGAUGUUGGGUUAAGUCCCGCAACGAGCGCAACCCACGUCUUUAGUUGCCAGCAUUCAGUUGGGCACUCUAGAGAGACCGCCGGUGAUAAACCGGAGGAAGGUGUGGAUGACGUCAAGUCAUCAUGCCCCUUACAUCCUGGGCUACACACGUACUACAAUGCUACGGACAAAGGGCAGCAAGCUCGCGAGAGUUAGCAAAUCCCAUAAACCGUGGCUCAGUUCAGAUCGUAGGCUGCAACUCGCCUACGUGAAGGAGGAAUCGCUAGUAAUCGCAGGUCAGCAUACUGCGGUGAAUACGUUCCCGGGCCUUGUACACACCGCCCGUCACACCAUGGAAGUUGGCCAUGCCCGAAGUCGUUACUCCAACCCUUGUGGAGGAGGACGCCGAAGGUGGGGCUGAUGACUGGGGUGAAGUCGUAACAAGGUA